UGGGGAAUAUUGCACAAUGGGCGCAAGCCUGAUGCAGCGACGCCGCGUGAGGGAUGGAGGCCUUCGGGUUGUAAACCUCUUUCGCCAGUGAAGCAGGCCAUCUUCUUUGUGGGGUGGUUGACGGUAGCUGGAUAAGAAGCGCCGGCUAACUACGUGCCAGCAGCCGCGGUAAUACGUAGGGCGCGAGCGUUGUCCGGAAUUAUUGGGCGUAAAGAGCUCGUAGGCGGGUGGUCGCGUCUGGCGUGAAAUCCCCUGGCUUAACUGGGGGCUUGCGGUGGGUACGGGCCGGCUUGAGGGCGGUAGGGGAGACUGGAAUUCCUGGUGUAGCGGUGGAAUGCGCAGAUAUCAGGAGGAACACCGGUGGCGAAGGCGGGUCUCUGGGCCGUUACUGACGCUGAGGAGCGAAAGCGUGGGGAGCGAACAGG
rnacentral:rRNA from 1 species